UCUGAUCACUUUUUUCAUUUUAAUGCAAAAAAUAUUUGACAAGACAACAUUUUUUCGAUGGAUCAACUAUGAUCCCCUUGGAACGAGCUGUCAAGUAGGAGCUUUUCUGUCAAGAAGGACUGCGAGGUUAAUUUUUCAAAAUUGAUUUAAAAAUCCAUUUUAAACUCUUUGUGGUCGUACUAAGAAAAAUAAGCUUUAUCGCUGUAAACAAUAAUAUCAGCAAUCUAAGCUUCAUUUUAGGACCCGAUUUGGCAAAAAAAAAAAUUCUCAGCUUAAAAAGUUUUUGAGUAAAACCAUUUUUUUUCAUUUUUUUUGCUCAAAUCGUACCGGUAUCUUGGAUUUAAACUUUUUAUUUUACUUUUUGGUCUGACAGCUCUAUCCUAGAUUUUGGUCUGGACCAAGCAAGGGAUUUGACUUGGGUUAAAAAUAACAGGAAUUUCUUUUUGUUCUAUUCAAUUAAGAAAAAUGGUUUUAUUUUAUGAAUUUAUAUAAUUUUUAUAUUAUAGAUUUUUUUCCAGACUUGUUUUUUUUAUUUUCGUUUUGUUGCUUGGCCCACUUUUAAUAAUUUGUUUAUGAUUUCUUAUUUUUAUGAUGAGGGUUCCAAUGUCCGCCAUUUCUCCUCCAGUCCAAAUGUGUCCUCUCUGAUGACUUUUCAGCACUCUAACCGAUCGAUUUUUGACAGCAUUUCAAGAAAUUAAAUUUAAUUAUCAAUAAUAUCUACCGGCAAACACCCUUGAACCAUUUCAAAACAAUUUCAAAAAGUGAUUAUACGAAUCAUUCAAACAAAGAUUUCCACCAUUUUUUUAAAGUUUGAGCAAUCUUUACAAUCUGAAAACAUUUGCAAUCAUUCUCCACAUUAGCUUCCAGACACAAUCAUCCUCACUCUCUCAAACACUCUUUAUUGUUUUUUUUUCUUUGUUUCGUGAGCUCCGCGAGAGAGAGCGCCACUCUCGGCCUGCUUUGCCCACAUUCGCAAAACCACUUUUCGUCCAAUCGAACGAACUUUUUAGCUUUUAGCUCAGGUGGUUGGGCGGGCGCGCUGCGAUUGCGUGCGCUUGGGUUCGAUUCUCGAGGUCAAGUCGAUUUUUUUUUGGCGAGCGUAUGAGCGCGGAUUUUUUUUUUGUUGAGAUUGUGUUUUUUUUUGUGGAUGCAGAAUUGCUUUUCAGUGCUCACUUUGAUUUUUUUCGGUUGGCAAAUCGGCGUUUGAAAAUUUGUGUGUGUGUGUUUUUUUCCAUGACGUGGCUGAAGGUUGUCUAAGCUUCGUUUUGUUAUGAUUCUGGAGGUUUUUCUUCAAUGCCGUUUUUUCGUCGAAUUUUGUUUGAGUUGUUUGAUUUGCGAUGCUGGCUGCACUCGAUGUUGGGUUGAUUCUGGUCCGGACUCCGACGUUGAGUUAUUUUUAGAUUGUUUACAUUAUUGUUGUUGUUGUCAGAAUUAUUUUUACUGAAUUCUAUAUUGUGAAUAUAAACAUUUUCAACAUUUUUUUCUCGGAAUAGCAUAGCAUAGCAUUGGUUUUGUAAUGAUUUUAAUUAUCAAUGUAAUAUCUAUGUGUUCAGUAUUUUUUUUGUAUUUUUCCAAUUACAAUUAAAUUAUGGUGACAUAUUUAAGUGUUUGCUUGUUUGUUUUCUAAACUUACAUCGAAUGUCACCUGAUUUUUUAUGUACACAGUUGUUCUCUUUUUAUGUCAUUGGAGUAAUGCAGAUUUUUUUUCUCUGGAUUUGUUAUUUUUUAUUAUAAUUUAAUUAUCAAUCUGAUGACAUUGAUUAUGAUGAAAUUUGUGCUUAAAAAUGUUUUUUUUUCGAAAAUAGUAUUUUUUACAAUUUUUACAUAGAAAUAUUAACUACUCAAUGUUUUUUUGAAAAUAAAAUAAAUUAAUUCACUCUGAACUAAAAACUCUUCAACAUUCUAUAAAUUUUAGUUUGUAAUUUGUUUGAUUUAUAUUGCUUUUAAAUGCUCAUGAAUCAUUUUGUGUUUUUUGAAACAAUCUAGUCAAAAUAGCCUAAUUUAAAAUUAGUUAGAAUUAGUUUGCUAGCUUUUUUUUUAUUUAUUUAUUGUAGGUCUUAAUUGUAACACGGAGAGGUAAUCCAUCGCCAUUUUUUAAACUUAAUUAUGAAACAGCUAAAUUUGUAAGCAUCAACAACAACUUUUAGCUAGAUCAGAAGCAAAUUUAGCUGCUUCAACAAAAAUCUUUGUAGACUGAAAAAAAAAUCCUGUUUUUGGCGAUGGAUCACCUUUGCCGUAAAUAUAAAUCGCAGUAGUUGGUAUUUUUUUUUCGCUGUAAUUCUUCUUUUUUCAAAGUAGAUCAAAUUCAAGACAUUCUUUUUUUCAAGGCGAGACUAGCUGUGUUGAGACAAAAUUAAGACAAGUGUUGAAUAUCUAAUUGAAAACGGAGCAAUUCCCUUCUGAGCGGGGAGUUGAUUUUAAUAAAAAAUUAGAGUGGGUGUUUGUAGUAACUUGACAUUAAGACUUAGACAGUUUAGGCAAGGACAGUUUUACGAAACGAAACUGCAAGUUUUGCAUCGCAGGACAAUUGAAUGAGGUUGGGCUUUCCGUUUUGUUUUGGGAAAAAUAAAAAUUUCAGCAGCUGGUUUUUGGAAACUCUGCGAAUGUAAGUCACUGAUGGCAGCGCUAAAACAAAUGGCCAUCAAAAUUGAAACAAUCCAAGGUCAAUGCGAAGGAAUUUUCACCUCCUUCUGUGUUAUGCAAAAAGAAGUAAACUAUCUCAAAAAUAAGCGAGAGUCAGUGUGUAAUCGAUGAAAAUCUAAAACUAAUCAACCAAGAGUUGAUAUUUCUGAAUAAAAAAUAAAUACCCAUAAUAGACAAACUGUGUUGAGACAAAAAUAAGACAAGUGUUGAAUAUUUAAUUGAACUUUAACAUCAUGUUGUUGGUUGCAAAAGGAGCAAUUUCCCUUCUGAGCGGGGAGUUGAUUUUAAUAAAAACUAGAGUGGUGUUGUAGUAACGCGAAUUUAAGACUUAGACAGUACGAAACAAAGCUGCAAUUCAUCUCAGGACAAUUGAAUGAGAGUAGGUUGGGCGUUCCCUUUGGUUUUGGUAGUAAUAAAAAUUUAAGCGGCUUAUUUUUAACAUUUGAAAACGUGAGAGACUGAGAGAGAAGUUUUUGUUUGUUCGCAAGAUGAAUCGACAUAAUAAAGACAUCAAUCGUGGAGACUGCACCUUAACAACGAGAGACAUUUCAGACAAAAGACAUGAGACACUGAUUUAGGUGGCGCCCGCUAGGCGCCCCAUCGUCAAAAUAUUGCUAGAAAAGGGAGCACUUUGUGGGACAAUUUUACGAAAUCAAGAUCAAUUUUCUCCGCUGAGUGAGCUGUUUCUAUAAAAAUUAGAGUGGUUGUAAUGAAAUUUGAGCUGUGAGCUUUCUUUUUCUCGGGUUGUGCUUGAAUGACAGCUAGAGAUGUGAGCAGUAAUUUGGAAAUGAAAGGGAAACUAAAAAGAGAGAUGCGUGAUUUUGACAGGUACAAAAAAAAAGAGAAAUUCACUUUGUUUACUUUGAGGCUUCGCAAGAUGAAUCGACAUAAUAAAGACAUCAACCGUGGAGGUCCUGGUCGAGAAGACUGAGUCUACCGUUUAGACAUUUAGACCGAGAGCAAUUGUUGAAAUAUUCUCAACAGUAACAAGUUCAGCCCGCGGGAAGACACUAAGCGUGUUCUCGACGGCGUUAAGUCUGAUCUAGGUCGUCAAAUUGUUCUCACUACGGAGCUGAUCAGGCGGUACCACGACCGGUACCCGAUCACAUUAACGCGGGAAAAUGUUGCUGUCAGGAUGAAAGCUAUUGAGGGCAUCAUUCCAGAGGAGAAUAUUCGCCUAAAGAUCAUUAUCCGACAGGCAGCUCUGUCUGGCUUGACGUGCAUUACCACCAUCAAAAAGGUAAGGAUGCACGGCUCGAUUUUCCGUUAGCUAGGGUUUUUGGCUUAUUCCCACAUCAACCGUAAAGGGGAGCCAACCAACAAGAUCAUCAGGGGAGCGUCAACAACAUGCAUCAAUUUAACAACAAGAUUAGUAAUAAAAAAAAGUUUUCUAUUAAUAUAAAAAAAUAAUAAUAAUAAAAUACUUAUUCUUCUUUAAAAUGGCCCACAAAUGCCAUGGAAGAAAUUGAUUCUAACAUAAAAACCUUGAAAAAAAAAUUAGAAACACUUGAAAAAUAUCCUUUUAGGAAAUUUUUAUCUCAAACAUUAUUAUUGAAAAAACAAGUAGCCAAGGAUUGUUACUUGGACAUAGAAAAAUUACUUCUCAUUAACGAAGCGAAAAUUGAGCUAAGUAAACUCAAUUUUUAUAUAAAAGCUUCCCGAAACAUUUUCCAAAAAAUCGAAUGAGAGUAGGUUGGGCGAUCGCUCGGUUUUGGGACUAAUAAAAAAUUAAGCGGCUUAUUUUCAACAUUUGAAAACGUGAGAGACUGACAGAGGUUUUUGAUUGUUCGCAAGAUGAAUCGACAUAAUAAAGACAUCAAUCGUGGAGACAGCACCUUAACAACGAGAGACAUUUCAGACGUGAGACACUCAUUUAGGUGGCGCCCGCUAGGCGCCCCAUCGUCAAAAUAUUGCUGGAAAAAGGAGCACUUUGUGGGACAAUUUUACGAAAUCAAGAUCAAUUUUGUCCGCUGAGUGAGCUGUUUCUAUAAAAAUUAGAGUGGUUGUAAAUUUGCGCUGUGAGUUUUCUUUUUCUCGGGUUGUGCUUGAAUGACAGCGGCAGAGAUGUGAGCAGUGAUUUGGGAAUGAAAGGGAAACUAAAAAGAGAGAUGCGUGAUUUUGACAGGCACGAAAAAAAGGGAAAUUCACUUUGUUUACUUUGGGGUUUCGCAAGAUGAAUCGACAUAAUAAAGACAUCAACCGUGGAGGUACUGUUCGAGAAGACUGAGGUUUCCGUAAGUUAUUUAGACAUUUAGACUGAGAGCAAUUGUUGAAAUUUUCUCAACAGUAACAAGUUCAGCCCGCGAUAGUGGGUCAGAUUUAUCAAGUGCUCAAAAUGUUAAAAUGUGCAACUAAUAAAACUCCGUAAGAGUUGUUGUAUGGGAAAUUAUGCAACAGUCCAUCUGAGUUGCAAGGAGAAACGGAAAUAUGUCCGCGCGCGACAGUUUGUUAAAAUCCAAACAAAAACGAAUUUAAAAAUAACAUUGACACGAACAAAAGCAAUCGUUAUAAUAUUAACGAUUUGAUUUUAAUCAAAAAAGAAACCACUUCCAAAUUGGAACCAACAUUCGAAGUUAGAUUAAAAAAAAAAGUACACUCAUUUAACGAAUUCCCAGCCAGUCAGUCGUGAAGCUCCGAACUAAUAAGUGAUAGUCCCAAACCCAGAAUGGGAAACGAAACGUCGAAGGAAGAUAAUGUGAAGCAGAUCGGUGCCCAACAGGUCACCGUAAUCGAGAAUCAAGAGGUGCACACGGAAACCCUACCAUAGAUGACAUCCAUCGUAGAUUAUUGGAGAGGACUGUUAAGGACUUUACAGAGUAUGCACGGACAUUACAAGGAUCAACAUUGACAUAAUAACACGACGUGCGGACCCGAAAGCAGCAUGAAGAAAAAAAAAACUCAAAAAGUGCUAUUAUUAAGCAAAGAUGUAAAGACCUUUCCAAGAGAUGAAUGCACAUAAGUGUAAAAUCUCUCUAAUACAAUAAAAAAAAACAUCAAAUUGAUGAUUAUUCUUAGCAAUGUAGCUGUACACUUCGCGUUAACAAAUAUUUAAAAUGUAUAAACAAUAUUCACGUGUUCAAGCAAUAAAAAUGGCUAGGUCAAUAGCCAAUCGACACGAAGUGAUAACAAAUAAACAAUAAAUGCAGAUAAUUUGCGAUAAACUACGAUGAAAUUUUCAAAAGAAUCAAAAUGAAGAAAAAUAUAACUCAAGCUCUAAUAGACCUGAAAAAAGGACAAGAGGAAAAAUAGCAGUGAAUAUAGCCAACAACAAUUUAAAAAAAAAUUACUACGUAAACACCUGGCAACAUUGGAAAACGGCAAAGUGAUGUGUAAUAAGUAUAUAACUAAAAUCAUCGUAUUGAAACCGGAAGUGAUUAAAAGGGAAAACAUUACAAAAAUGACAGCUAAAAUAUUGCCUUCGACGCAUAUCCUUACGCGGUGUUUCUACCCGGACUCAACAUCGGUGAUCUUCAAGAAGGGGAGCGCACAUAAGUGAUGGAUCAACCCAAUUUUCAAUCAACAAGAUAAGUAAUAAUUUUUGUAUUUUUUUAUAGUUCAGAAUAUUUUUUAUGGAAAACUAGACAUAAACUUAAAAACCUUACAAAAAAUUCUUGAAACCUUGGAAAAAAAUCCUUAUAGGAAUUUUUUAUCCAAAACCCUUAUUUUAAAAAGUCAAGUCAAAAGUCAAUAUUGAAAAAAUCUUCUCAUUAAUGAAGAGAAGAUUGAGUUAAAUAAACUCAAUUUCUACAUUAAAGCAUCUCGAAAGACUUUAAAAAAAAAAUCGAAAAUUUUAUCAAUCUUCAAUUAGAUAACAAACAAAUAAGCGUCGGUUGUGGGAACGGUCGGUUCCAUCACAACCCGAGAAGCAGGCCCUAAAUGAAAAUACCCCGGAUCACGUGAGCACAUCAUAACCACAUUAACCCAGGAAGCAUUGCCCAUGGAUCACGUGAGCGCACUAUAUUUUUGUUUCCUCGGCCUCAAGAUAAACAAAUAAGUUAGAAAAAGUCAGGAAAAAAUGCGUGAAAUUACAAAAUUUGUUAAAUUUAAAUAACAACAAGUAAAAUAACGAGAGAUUUAAUGACACUGGAUCAGUACUUUGAAAGUCUGACAAAAAUUAUAAAAAAUUUGUCAAAGGAGAUAUAAAGAUAAAACGAGAGUUGAAAAAUUGGAAAAAGCGAAGCAAAUAUAUGAUUUAGCAUUAACUGAGACCGAACUCGGUAAAGAGUCAGACCAAGAAAAAUUAUUUAAAAAAUUACGAUACAUACACGGAGAAGUAUAUACAAAAUAAACAGCGAGGCUCGAUAAAAAUAUUGAACCAUUUUCUUUUAAGAAUUUUGGUAAAAGUUAUAAUAACCUUGAAUGAUUUAUAUAAAAAAGGUAAAAAUGGCGACUGCUUUAGAACGACGUGACGGUUCUCCGAGCGGGGCAAUCAACUGUCGAUGAAGCUGUGUUUGUUCAAUUUAUGAACAACCGUUUAACUGGUGCCGCUCGCGGUGAGUUAACGGGAAUAGCUACCAUUAUAGAGGCACGGAAUACUCUAAGAUCCCGAUUUGGGAUUAAAUUAACACCAGUAGCCGUGACAGCCGAAUUGAGGGCACUUAAACAAAAGGGCAAAUCAUUGGUAGAUUUCAGCUCAGAAAUUGAAAAAGUAGCUACAAAAUUGUCGGCCGCGUGGGUAAAUAAGCAUCCGGAGCUUUUCCCCACGGAAGCAGCUACACGACCCACAGUACAACCUAUUUUUUAUUGUGUAUUGAAAUUUGACUGUGAGUUUUCUUUUUCCCGGGAUGUGCUUGAAUGACAGCGGUAGAGAUGUGAGCAGUGAUUUGGAAAUGAAAGGGGAGUAAAUAGCACCUCUCGCUUGGGCUCGAAAUAGCCUUGUACGGAAUCUAAGUCAUGAACGAUGAAGUCGGGACGUGAUAUUAAUUUAUGUCCCAACUCUUUGAGGUUCUAAGUUAGACUCCGUACAUGGCGAGCCUCUCCAUUAAAUGUAAAUGGAUAACUAAAUGGUGAAUUUUGUGUUAGAGAGCAGACCGGCGUAAAUACCUAACAAAUUUUGUGAUAGUGAGCAGUGAACAUUAGUGACAUAGAUGACAUAAUGGGAAAACCGCAAUCAAAAGCGCAGUCGACUGGCGACCCACAAAUCGCCAUAAUAAACGUGCUGGAACAACACUCAAUAUAUCACGAGCAGCAAACGUUGCUGCUGUGGGUAUUGCUCGGAAUUGUUCAUGACUUAGAUUCCGUACAGCCUUCUUUAAGUUUUAAGUACGAUAGAUAAAUUCAUUCUUGGCUGAACUUGAAGCAACCAACAUCGUCUCGUAACUACUAUUGAAGAAGCCCAUUGAGAUGUAAUAACAAGUCUUUAAAGGAGAUUUGUACGAAAGAGAGAUGCGCGAUUUUGAGAAGCACGGAAAAAGGGAAAUUCAAUUUGUUGACUUUGUGGUUUCGCAAGAUGAAUCGACAUAAUAAAGACAUCAACCGUGGAGAUUCUGGUCGCGAAGACUGGGACUACCGUUUAGACAUAUAGACAUUUAGACCGAGAGCAAUUGUUGAAAUAUUCUCAACAGUAACAAGUUCAGUCCGCUGGAAGUCCGCUUCGCUCAUCAGAUAAACUUGAGUGCACUUUAGAUUGUGGUAAUAUUCCUCGGGCGAGACCCCCUGGUCUGCGCCCACAGCUAGAGGACUGUAGCGUACCAGAUGUAACAUAUCGAAUUAUCCUUAUCCUUGGAUUCUCAUAAAUCCUUUCCAAAGCUUACUCAAAUUCCAUUACAUAACUUAAGCUAUUAUCCGCAUUCUUCCUUCUGAGACCUUCUUUGCAUACCCACACACGACGACACUCAAGUAAUAAACAGAACCUUUUCCUCAUAACCAUGACCCCCUUUGUUAUUGCAACCAAAUGUUAACGCUGCGCUGACUCUUCAAGUACAGCGCAUUUGUUUAAACUCUGGCCACAUGUUUGAACAACAUGUCGAAGCCAGCCAACGCUUGCGCUAGGUUUCCCAAACUCUAAGCUCAGAAUAAAAUAUCAUUCAAGUCUGAACCUCUGCAGAACACAGUUAUUCAUAUCACAACCCCUAACACGAUAAUUUCGAAACAUCUUCCCUUCUACCAUGGACGUUUUAUAACUGGCGUAAACCCAAAACAUCGAACAGACGAACAUCCGUUGCACCCGAUCACGCCACGCGCCUAGAAUGACAUUUCAUAAUUAGGACGCAUAUUAAUACUCAGCUACCAGCCAGAGGAAGCCAUUCUGUUUUAGGAGUUUGAUUCGCCAGGAGCAUCAGUCUACCGGCUUGGACCUUCUAACCAUCAGGAUCAACGUUCAUCGUUCAUCAAGUUGCAAGAAUACUACAAGUCUACAACACCAGCCAUCGAGCAUCAAAUACUACAAGUCUACAAUACUAGCCAAUGAGCAUCAAAUCAAAAGUGAAAGUGAAUUAGUUUAAGUUACGUGAAUGAAUUCUUUUUUAAAAACCCUGUAAGGGUUCAGAAUUUAUAACUGGCGCCAGAUAAACCGAGCUAUUAGCGAUCGGGCCCACGCUGACCGCCGCAAAUAAUGCUGGAAACGGCGCCGGACAUUCAGCACAAGAUCUAAAUGCUCUUCGAGCAGCAUCAGAAAACCGACUUCAACUAAUUGAGACAGCAAUUGCACCUGUAAUAGUCUGAACACCACUGCAUUCCCAACAUACCCUUUCACACUUAAUUUCCAUUUUUAUUACCAUGCCCGGACCUCGCACAACAAGACCAGGUUUUGUCUUUCAAAACACAAACCCUGCCUGGCUGUAGAGCCCACACACAGUUAGAACCACUUGGCGCAAGCAUAAUUGCUGAUGCUUGCGUAUAGCCUUUUUCGAACCAUAUUUCGGUUCAUCGACAAUUGGCCGGGACGCUGACUCCUGCUGAGCCAGCGCAAGGGUUCAACCCAGUACAAGCCAACUCCAGAAGUCCAUACUGUAGCACGAAAGUGUCACCACAAAUUUGACUAGUAUAAAUACCCGAGUUCAAAUAAACAAAAAUCAGUCUUUUCGGCUGGAACAUCAAGGCGACUUGUCUACUUUAUUUCGAGCUCCGAGCUGGUUACUGCUCCUCGCAGUCUACCACACCUCGGAUAGCUUUUAAUGCAAAGAAAGUCCCUGCAGGUUUCCCCGCGGUUCUUACGCCUCGCACUGUCGAACGUUUUGAGAUAUUAUAUGGCGACCGUGACAGAACGUGUGAAGUGACAAAAUGAAGGAGUACAUAUCUAGAGUCCAAGCAAAAGACUAUGAUUUACUCUGGCAAAUUGAACUCAAAAGAAGAAGUUUGAUGGAAAAAUUUAGUGACAAUAAGAAAACGAGUGACUUACAGAAGAAAAAACAGCAAAUUAAAAAGUGAAAAAAAAAAUUGAGAGGAUUUGUUUCUCAAGAACAAAAUUUUGUUUUUAAAAAAACUACGUGCCGCAGAUCAAAAGACAAAAGUGUGAAAAAAAUAACAUUUUAAGUUAACGAUGGGUACUGAACAAAGUACACCAAAGCCGCCCUUAUUGCAUGAGGAGACAAUACGCAUCAUAAACGCGAAUGUGCUGCAAACAGCACACUUGGAAAAAAGUGCGAGCGCGACAACGGUGUUAGCAUAUGCAGCUGUAGCAGUAAUUUUUAUUACGCUCGCAUAUGUGCUAUAUCGUGCCAUAAUUAAGUUCGAACGGAUGAGAACAGAGGACAGACUACGAAGAGUAGUAUCGCUCUCAAGCAUCGUAACGCAAAAGUGAAGUGGUGAUUAAGAAAGAACAAUAAGUUUCGAUUAAAAAUUAUAUUAGAGAAGACCAACUUAAUUUCUUAAUUAAAACAGCAAGAGAAAUUUAUUACAAAAUAGAAAAUUUUAUAAAUUUACGUUUGAAAACUUCUAAAACAAAAAGACUAUCGUUUAAAACAAUAGUCAAAAUAAUUAUAAUCUUAAGAAAGUACAAAAAAAAACACUUUUCAAAAAAUCGAAGACUUUAUUACACUUCGAUUAAAUCAAAAACAAACAAAGCGAUUGUCUUUUAAGACAGUCGCAAAAAUCAUAAUUAUUUUUUAUCGGUCAAUCAUUGCAAUAAGAAGCAAAGAAAUGACUUCUUGAAGAUCAAUUUUGUUCGCUGGGAGAGCUGUUUCUAUAAAAAUUAGAGUGGUUGUAAAUUUGAGCUGUGAGUUUUCUUUUUCUCGGGUUGUGCUUGAAUGACAGCGGCAGAGAUGUGAGCAGUGAUUUGGAAAAUGAAAGGGAAACUAAAAAGAGAGAUGCGUGAUUUUGACAGGUACGAAAAAAAGGGAAAUUCACUUUGUUGACUUUGGGGUUUCGCAAGAUGAAUCGACAUAAUAAAGACAUCAACCGUGGAGGUCCGGAUCGAGUAGACUGAGACUACCGUAAGACAUUUAGACAUUUAAACGAUUCGAACCCAUGACUUUCGGUUUUGAGGUGUACUCACGACACCAUAUGGAAAGUCGUGCAGGGCUGCUUCAAAUAACAUGUGCGGUUACUGCGGUCGCAAAAAUGGGGAUGGUUUCGCAACAGUGCUUGGAAAAGAUCUUAGACGGCGUCAAGUCUGACCUGGGGCACUAGAUUGUCCUAACCACAGAGUUAAUCAGACGCUAUCAUGACCGAUUCCCAAUCGCUCUAACAGUUGAGAACGUUUCCGUUAGAAUGAAGGCCAUCGAAGACAUUAUCCCGGAAGAAAACCUCCGUCUGAAGAUCAUUAUCAGACAGGCGGCGUUGUCUGGUCUGACGUGCAUCACUACCAUCAAGAAGGCCAUGGACACUCGUCCCGAUUUCCCCUGUGCCAGGAAAUAACCCAUACUAUGGGUUCACCAGUACGAUGGAGGGUGUGGCUUCCAACCGGUAUAAGAACCUAGCCUACAUUGCCAAGGAGAUCCUGAUAAGGUAUCAAGGGGAGACAGAUUUGCGCAACUACGCGGGCUUCCCUAGGGCACCGAUGUAUGCCGAUCGUGUACAGGCAAUAUUCUCCGAAUACGAAGGCGCUCAACGAAAUGAUGGCAUUCCGGAUAAAAACGCUGGACUACUCCGGACUCCAACAGGUCACCGUAAUCGAGAAUCAAGAGGUGCACACGGAAACCCUGGAAAGAACGGAAAUCAAAAUUUGGAUAACUUUGGUUAUGGUGGGAAUUUUGCUGAUGCUGAAAAUACACAGCAUCAUCAAAAAAAGAUCGAAAGAAGCAGCAUACAAGCAAGCUCGUGAGGUGGCCGCAGCCGCCAACAAAUCAAGGAGUACCAGGAUCAACAUUGACAUAAUAACCCGACGAGCAGCAUGAAGAAAAAAAAAACUCAAAAAGUGCUAUUAUUAAGCAAAGAUGUAAAGACCUUUCCAA